rnacentral:rRNA from 1 species
GGGAGGCAGCAGUGGGGAAUCUUGCGCAAUGGGCGAAAGCCUGACGCAGCAACGCCGCGUGCGGGAUGAAGGCCUUCGGGCUGUAAACCGCUUUCAGCAGGAACGAAAAUGACGGUACCUGCAGAAGAAGGAGCGGCCAACUACGUGCCAGCAGCCGCGGUGACACGUAGGCUCCAAGCGUUGUCCGGAUUUAUUGGGCGUAAAGAGCUCGUAGGCGGUUGAGUAAGUCGGGUGUGAAAACUCUGGGCUUAACCCGGAGACGCCAUCCGAUACUGCUCUGACUAGAGUUCAGGAGGGGAGUGGGGAAUUCCUAGUGUAGCGGUGAAAUGCGCAGAUAUUAGGAGGAACACCGGUGGCGAAGGCGCCACUCUGGACUGAAACUGACGCUGAGGAGCGAAAGCAUGGGUAGCAAACAGGAUUAGAAACCCGAGUAGUCCG